rnacentral:rRNA from 1 species
CCGACCCGCACGAAAGGCGUAACGAUUUGGGCACUGUCUCAACAACAGACGCGGUGAAAUUGUAAUUCCGGUGAAGAUGCCGGAUACCUGCGACAGGACGGAAAGACCCCAUGGAGCUUUACUGUAGCUUGACAUUGGGUCUUGGUACUACAUGUACAGGAUAGGUGGGAGGCUUUGAAACCAGGACGCCAGUUUUGGCGG